rnacentral:misc_RNA from 1 species
GAUGAAGAACGUAGUGAAAUGCGAUACGUAAUGUGAAUUGCAGAAUUCAGUGAAUCAUCGAGUCUUUGAACGCACAUUGCGCCCCCUGGUAUUCCGGGGGGCAUGCCUGUCCGAGCGUCAUUGCUGCCCUCAAGCACGGCUUGUGUGUUGGGCCUCCGCCCCCCGGCUCCCGGGGGGCGGGCCCGAAAGGCAGCGGCGGCACCGCGUCCGGUCCUCGAGCGUAUGGGGCUUCGUCACCCGCUCCGUAGGCCCGGCCGGCGCCCGCCGGCGACCCCCCUCAAUCUUUCCAGGUUGACCUCGGAUCAGGUAGGGAUACCCGCUGAACUUAAGCAUAUCAAUAACGGAGGA